rnacentral:rRNA from 1 species
GACGUAGGAGGCGAGCGUUGUCCGGAGUUACUGGGCGUAAAGCGCGCGCAGGCGGUCGCGCAGGUCAUCUGUGAAAGCCCCGGGCUUAACCUGGGAAUGGCAUGGGAAACUGGCGAGCUUGAGUGCGGCAGAGGGGGGUGGAAUUCCGCGUGUAGCAGUGAAAUGCGUAGAGAUGCGGAGGAACACCGAUGGCGAAGGCAGCCCCCUGGGUCGACACUGACGCUCAGGCACGAAAGCGUGGGGAGCAAACAGG